CUGGAAAGUGAGUGGACUCACUGGUGAAAAGGACCUGAGCCCAAACAGUGUCCAUGAUAGUGAAUCCAUUUUGGUUGUGUUGGAUUUGAGGUGGCAAAGAAAUAAGGAACUGGCAUGUGACUGCGGGAAAUUGGAGCUACAAGACAGGAGUUCAGGUGAAAAGAUAGGACUAGAGUUGGAUGCUGAAACUUGCAGUCACACAAGGACUUGAACCUAGAGCUUUUCUAAAGCCCGUACUCUUUCCAGUACCCUGAGCCAGGGGAGCCAGCGGGCAGAAAUGACGUGUGAGGUACCCUCUCUCUCUUCACUUCCAUGUGAUCUGUUACUCAUUUUGUCAAGACAUCCUGGGUCCCAGAGACCACUCUUAUUCCCAGGUGUGUGACCUCCUCCUACAGACUACAGUGGGAAAGACACCAUCUCCAGGUGCCAGGUGCUACACAAGAUACUGGCUAUAGCAGCGAACAGGACAGCCCGUCUCAUCCUCAUGGAGGUCACAGGACAAUGAGAAGAAAGACUUUUUUAUUUUUAUUUUUUUGAGACGGAGUUUUGCUCUUGUUGCCGAGGCUGGAGUGCAGUGGUGUGAUCUCGACUCACUGCAACCUCCGCCUCCCAAGUUCAAGCAAUUAUCCUGCCUCAGGCCUCUUGAGUAGCUGGGAUUACAGGCACCUGCCACCACUCCUGGCUAAUUUUUUGUAUUUUUAGUAGAGACAGGGGUUUCAUCAUGUUGGCCAGGCUGGUCUCGAACUCCUGACCUCAGGUGAUCCACCCACCUCGGCCUCCCAAAGUGCAGGGAUUACAGGCAUGAGCCAUCGAACCCGGCCCAAGAAGAAAGACAUUGAACAAGUAAUUACAGGGUAUUGGGUGUUAUGAAAGAAAAGCAUGGUACUGUAUAAUGAGGUCAUCUAAUUUAGUCUGGGGUGACAAGGAAUGCCUACUAAAGAAGGUAUCGUUUAAGACAUACCUGGGGAAUAGCGGUAGUGAAAAUAGAAGCUCCAGAAAUGCAGGGACCAUGGCUGACAUGUUUACCAUGCCAGUGUCUGGCAUGGAAGAGGCCCAAUUCCUUUGGUUGAAAGGAUGAAGUAAUCUAGCUGAAUAAAGGGUGUGUGCGUGCACGCAGGUGUGUUUGUAGUUAACCUUCCUUUAGCUCAGCUUAGGAAACAGCUUUUGUAAAACUGCGUAACUAGUAGUAGGUGAGAGAGGAAUACGAAUGAUAUACACACCAUUAAAGACAACUUACUAACAGCAUGAGUCCGACAUAGAUUCCUUCCUACUUGGGUUUGAACCCUGAGCCCACCACUUACUAGCUGUGAGAAAGUGAAUGAGUUGCCUCCCUUUCCUGUGCCUCUGUUUCUUGUAAAUUCUAUUUCCAAGCAUCAUGAGGAUAAAAGACAAUGUAUAUACGUUGUUUGGCAUAUUACAGUCAAUGCUUGGUAACUACUAUUGUUAUUUUUUAAAAAAUUAUUAUUAUUAUUUUUUGAGACGGACUCUCGCUCUGUCGCCCAGGCUGGAGUGCAGUGGCGCUAUCUUGGCUCACUGCAAGCUCUGCCUCUUGGGUUCACACCAUUCUCCUGCCUCGGCCUCCUGAGCAGCUGGGACUACAGGCGCCCGCAACCACGCCCGGCUAAUUUUUUGUAUUUUUAGUAGAGACGGGGUUUCACUGUGUUAGCCAGGAUGGUCUCGAUCUCCUAACCUCGUGAUCCGCCUGCCUCGGCCUCCCAAAGUGCUGGGAUUACAGGCGCGAGCCACCGUGCCCGGCCCCACUAUUGUUAUUUAUGUACACCAAAUUUAUAUCCAAAGGGACUUUGAUAGUUACAAGAAAAGACAUAUAAGUCCAGAUAUCAUUGAACAAGAGUAAAAUAAUAAAUCAAGUAGGAAUGGAGGGGAGGAUAUGCAUGCAGCACUAGAUAAUAUCUAUACAGAGAGAGGAUGAGGUCUUGGAAGAUGAGUCUGAAGACUUUCCUGUUGGAGAGGGGCUCUAUGCUCGGCAUGCUGACUGCUUUUACAACCCCACCCCCACAUCUCAUCUUAACCACAAGACAGUCUUGUUCUGGGGAGUUCAGAGCCUUUAUUUUUUAUUUAUUUAUUUAUUUUUUGAGAUGGAGUCUCACUCUGUCACCCUGGCUGAAGUGCAAUGGCAUGAUCUCAGCUCACUACAACCUUUGCCUCCCAGGUUCAAGCGAUUCUCCUGCCUCAGCCUCCUGAGUAACUGGGAUUACAGGCACGUGCCACCAAGCCCAGCUAAUUUUUGUAUUUUUAGUAGAGAUGGGGUUUCACCAUGUUGGCCAGGCUGGUCUCGAACUCCUGACCUCGUGAGCUGUCCACCUCGGCCUCCCAAAGUGCUGGGAUUACAGGCGUGAGCCACUGCGCCCGGCCCCAGAGUCUUUAUUUAUUAUUUAGAGAGGGUCUCACUCUGUCACCCAGGCUGUAGUGUAGUGGUGCGAUCUUGGCUCACUGCAGCCUUAACCUCCCAGGCUCAAGCAAUCCUCUCACUUCAGCCUCCUGAGUAAUUGGGGCCACAGGCUCACACCACCAUGCCUGGCUAAUUUUUUAAAAAAAUUUUUAUAGAGACAAGGUCUUGCCAUGUUGCCCAGGCUGGUCUUGAACUCUUGGGCUCAAGUGAUCCUCCUGCCUCAGCCUCCCAAAGUGCUGGGAUUACAGACAUCAGCCACCGUGCCCAGCCCAGAAUCUUUCAACCCCCAAAAUCCAUUGGUGUGGGGUUAGAUGAGGGAUCCUAAAAGGAGAGGGAGGCUGCUGUGCAGUGAUCCCACCGGCCUGCUUGCAGGAAGGAGAGCCGACCCUUUCUUGACCUCUACCAAAGACACUAGAGAGCUUUGUAAAUCUUCCAAUUAGAUGAUACAUAAAUACUUCCCCAGGUCUUCUAGGCCUGAUUCAAUAAUAUUUACUUCGAGAGGCUGCUGCUUCCUGUUUGUAUUCUCUUACCACAAGUUAUCUGCUGUUCCUACUUUCACUUAAGCUUUGUAUCGUACUCUGUGAGAAAUGUUUGAGCUGGCUGGACACAUUUCCUGAAAUCAUUUCUCUAGUCUUUUACGAAAUGUCUGCAUUUAUGCUGGAAUCAUAGAGCUGAACUAUCAUUGAGAUAAAAAUUCCAGUCUUUACCCCAAUUUACAAUUCCUAAAAACUGUCACUUUCUUAGAUCUCUUCACAUUUUCAUUACUUCUUUUUUUUUUUGUUUUUUGUUUUUUGUUUUUUGAGACUGAGUUUUGCUCUUGUUGCCCAGGCUGGAGUGUAAUGGUGCGAUCUCGGCUCACUGCAACCUCCGCCUCCCAGAUUCAAGUGAUUCUUCCUGCCUCAGUCUCCUGAG
rnacentral:lncRNA from 10 species